AAUGAACGUUGGCGGCGUGGAUUAGGCGUGCAAGUCGUGCGAUAACCGUAGCAAUACGGGGAAAGCGGCGAAAGGGAGAGUAACGCGUGGGUACCUACCCCCUGGUCUGGGAUAGCCGCGGGAAACUGCGGGUAAUACCGGAUGACGUCUACGGACCAACGGUGUGAUUCCGCCGGGGGAUGGGCCCGCGUCCUAUCAGCUUGUUGGCAGGGUAAUGGCCUACCAAGGCGAUGACGGGUACGAGGUGUGAGAGCAUGACCUCGCUCACUGGGGCUGAGACACUGCCCAGACACCUACGGGUGGCUGCAGUCGAGAAUCUUCGGCAAUGGGCGCAAGCCUGACCGAGCGACGCCGCGUGCGGGAUGAAGGCCCUCGGGUUGUAAACCGCUGUCGGAGGGGAGGAAGUGCCGGGAAGUAAUUCAUAAUCAACCCGGUUUGACCUAUCCUCAAAGGAAGUACGGGCUAAGUUCGUGCCAGCCGCCGCCGUAAAAC
rnacentral:rRNA from 1 species